GGGGGGGGGGGGGGGGGGGGGUGGGGGGUGGGGGGCGGGCGGGGAGGGGCUGCUUGUGUGGGGGGCUCGAGGGGCGAACGGGUGAGUAACGAGUGAGUCACCUGCCCUUGCCGUUGGUAUAACUUCAGGACCCUGGGGCUGAUACCGGAUAGGAGCUCCAUCUGCCUGGUUUGGCUUGUGACGGUUCGGGGGUUGGUGCUGGACUCGCGGCUUAUCAGCUUGUUGGUGGGGUAGUGGCUUACCAAGGCUUUGACGGGUAGCCGGCCUGAGAGGGUGACCGGCCACAUUGGGACUGAGAUACGGCCCAGCCUCCUACGGGAGGCAGCAGUGGGGAAUAGUGCACAAUGGGCGGAAGCCUGAUGCAGCAACGCCGCGUGCGGGAUGACGGCCUUCGGGUUGUAAACCGCUUUCGCCUGUGACGAAGCGUGAGUGACGGUAAUGGGUAAAGAAGCACCGGCUAACUACGUG
rnacentral:rRNA from 1 species